rnacentral:tRNA from 1 species
GUUACUUUGGCAGAAAAGUGUAAAGAAUUUAGAAUUCUUAAAUGUAAAAAUUUUACAGGUAAUA